AAAUAUUUGUUCUUAUGGGAUGGAUUCGCUUCUGACUGCAUUUCUUUUGUGGAUGGGAGUGCCAUAGAGAAGGAGGAGCCCAGCUCAGCUAUCCUCCGAUCCAGGAGCAGUGAAUGUCGUGUCUUUCCUUCCUCAUCCCCUUCUUUCCUGGGAGCUGCUGCAUUCACCUGUCCCUUCAAGGACCACAGAAGAGCAAAAUGUGUAGCACCCCACAGAUCUCAGGAAGUAUCAGGCUGCCUUUGAAGCUCAGCCACUGAGGAUGCAUUGAGGGGGACACCCAAUAUGUAAAGGGAAGAGUGAAAGAGGGUUCCUGCAGCACCAGGACCACAGCCUUGUCUUCACGCAUCUUUCAGGUAAGAAGUGUGACAGUUUUCCAUGCAAGUGUGAUUGGAUUCUUCAGUCCUUGGCACAAUCCCAUCGACCUCUGAUAUCUCUUACGUUUCAGGCAACAUGUUUCUUUGUUGUUUGAGUUUCAGGCAGAGCCACUCAGCAAAAUGUUCCAGUGUAGCCUGGUUGGAUUUCUCUCACUUUUCCUCCUAUUUCCUCUUUAACAGGAUUGAAAUCAAGACAUACAUUGAAGCAGAUAAUGGUUAGUUCUAGUAAUUCUGGUUGUCUUUAAGUAAGGAAAACUUUUUCAAGUUCCUCACCUUAUGCACAUGAAAAAUCACUUUCGAGGUGGAGAAUUUGUUUAUUUCUGGUAUAAGUGCUUGAUUCAUUUGCUUUAAACCACAACCUUUGUGUAAGCUGCUCCUUACUGACUUUGGUCUCAGCAGUAGCUGUUUUGCCAGAGGUAGCAAUUUGAUCUCUGUCGUACUAAUCUGUCUUUGUUUUUCUGUUGUC